UACGAAGGGGGCUAGCGUUGCUCGGAAUCACUGGGCGUAAAGGGUGCGUAGGCGGGUCUUUUAAGUCAGGGGUGAAAUCCUGGAGCUCAACUCCAGAACUGCCUUUGAUACUGGCGACCUUUGAGUCCGGGAGAGGUGAGUGGAACUGCGAGUGUAGAGGUGAAAUUCGUAGAUAUUCGCAAGAACACCAGUGGCGAAGGCGGCUCACUGGCCCGGUACUGACGCUGAGGUGCGAAAGCGUGGGGAGCAAACAGG
rnacentral:rRNA from 1 species